GGCCCACCAAGGUUACGAUCAGUAGGGGUUCUGAGAGGAAGGUCCCCCACAUUGGAACUGAGACACGGUCCAAACUCCUACGGGAGGCAGCAGUGAGGAAUAUUGGUCAAUGGACGAGAGUCUGAACCAGCCAAGUAGCGUGCAGGAUGACGGCCCUAUGGGUUGUAAACUGCUUUUAUAAGGGAAUAAAGUGAGUCUCGUGAGACUUUUUGCAUGUACCUUAUGAAUAAGGACCGGCUAAUUCCGUGCCAGCAGCCGCGGUAAUACGGAAGGUCCGGGCGUUAUCCGGAUUUAUUGGGUUUAAAGGGAGCGUAGGCCGGAGAUUAAGCGUGUUGUGAAAUGUAGAUGCUCAACAUCUGCACUGCAGCGCGAACUGGUUUCCUUGAGUACGCACAAAGUGGGCGGAAUUCGUGGUGUAGCGGUGAAAUGCUUAGAUAUCACGAAGAACUCCGAUUGUGAAGGCAGCUCACUGGAGCGCAACUGACGCUGAAGCUCGAAAGUGCGGGUAUCGAACAGGAUUAGAUACCCUGGUAGUCCGCACGGUAAACGAUGGAUGCCCGCUGUUGGUCUGAAUAGGUCAGCGGCCAAGCGUAAGCAUUAAGCAUCCCACCUGGGGAGUACGCCGGCAACGGUGCAACUCAAAUGAAUUGACGGA
rnacentral:rRNA from 2 species